GCUCUAAUGAGAGCCCAAUAUUUUAACUUUGGCAGAUGGAAGAUAAAGGAAUGGAAGUGUCCCCUACCUACUCCCUCUUCUUGAAACAGUGAGCGAAGUCCUUACAAAAUGGGGGCCCAGCAUAAGAACUAUGAGGAUGAGAAAGAGAAGACAUCUCACCAACAAAAUGGAUACCAUUAGCAACCUGAAGUCAUGACAACUAAAAAUAUUUCCAGGCAUUGCUGAAUGUUCCAUGGGAAGUAAAAUCACUCCUUGGUUCAGAAUCACAGCUGGAACUGAUGGGCAGCACAAAGUAUGGUAGGGUUAUGAUCAACAGCACCUGGAGACACCCAGAAGCCUUCCAAACAAUGUGAUACUUGAGCAGAGAUUUCAAUGCUGAGCAAGAAUUAUCCAGAAGGCUAAAAUAAAUCCUUUCCCCAUGAGAAAAUUUCA